rnacentral:lncRNA from 1 species
AUUUCUGAGUCACGGCAUGGUGGUCUUUCUGCAGACCCGCUCACUUCUUCUGCUUUUGUGCCACUUGUGGAGCAGCGUGAGGCCCUCACCCAAAGCUGAGCAUGCACUGGCUCCACACACGCUCUUGGACUUCCAGGACUGUGAUCCAAAACCUCUUCCCUUUAUAAAUGACCUGCUCUCAGGUAUUCUGUUAUAGUAACAACAAGCAGAUUGAGAUACUACCAUUUGGUUUUGUUUGAGGCAGAAAAGUGCAACUUCAGGUGGUGGUGACCAUGCAGGGUAAUGUGACCAGUGGACAGACAGGUGUGUGGGCAUUGGUUUAGACAGGUGCCCAGGAAGGCCUACAGUGGGGUGGCCUCUGGGCCGACAUUGUGUAACAGGAAGGGGACGGCCCAGUGAGGAUGAGCAUGGUUACCCACGGCC